rnacentral:lncRNA from 1 species
AAAACUCUUCCUCACCUCACUCUCUGUUACUGAACUAAAUAAAAAAAACACCUUAACAAAAACCAUUAUUCCAUCUCACAUAACUCCAUCUCCUUCCUUAAUCAUAAAACCAACACUAUCUCUAUUAAAAACACCACAACUCCAUCACCAUCUUAUACAAUCAUACACUAUUUUUAUCUCAUUUUUCACUUGAUGAUAUCGAACACUUACCACCACAAAAUGCUCAACCGUCAU